UGUUUGUAUUUUUAGUAGAGACAGGGUUUGAGGUCAGGAGUUUGAGACCAACCUGGCUUCGCUAUUUUGAAAGAAUCAACUGAAUUUUAGAAAUUCCAUGGUGGGACUGCUUUUUAAAAGUCAGGCAUCACAGACCUAAAAAGCACCCUGCUUGUCCUGCCUAGUAGGCUCUCAUUUUGGGUUCUAGACCUUCUCUUUUGGAUCUGUGCCCUUGAGCACGUCAUUUAGACAGAAGUCCAGCGACAUGUUGCCAUUAUCAUUGGGAAAGUCCCAGAGUGACUUCCUCCUCUCGCCAGACUUUGUGUAGGGCAGGACCGCCCACUCUUAGGAGGGACAGGAGGCUGCUCCCCCUGCUCCUGAGCCUUUCUCAGGAAAGAGAUGUGGGGGCCUGCCUCCCCGCUUUUCAAUAUCCGAAUUCCUCAGUGUUGACAUGCACACACUUGCAAUCUGUUCUUUUUUCUGGCUUAGCUUCAGGAAAACUUGAAGCCAACAUUGUGCCCAAGAAUGAUAAUCAACUCGGUUUAGGCUACGAGGAGCAUUCAUCCCUUCUGUUUCCUUCCAAUGAACUGUGCUGUUUUAUUCUUAAAUGGUCAGCAUUGUUUUCUUGAAGCCUAUCAGGAGCAGACGGUGAUAGAAACGUUAACUUAAUGAAAACACAAACAAACUUAGACAUCUCAACUAUUUAAUACCUGGAAGUCAAAAUGAUGUAAGGGGAACUUUUUUUUUUUUUUAAAUUCCUAAUGUGAAAGCCAUCCAAAAGCUACACAGAUUACUCAAAACCAAAGAAAGUUUAAGAGUGAAGAAAGAAAACAAGGAUUAGAUUUGUUUUUCCACUGUGUUCAUGAAACUUCUGGGAUACUUGAACACUGAACCAAGAGAGGAAACAUCCUGGCUACCUGAGAGUAAAAUGAUGGGGAACCACUGAGAGGCCAGGCCUUUGGCCACCUCAUCACUUACCUUGUCAUUUACCGAGGAAAGUUGAGUGCCACAUGCAGGCUUGACAGAGCUGCAUUUACUGGCUGAUAUCUGGAGAUAUCAGCAAUAGCUGGCUUUUUUUUUUUUUUUUUUUUUUAAGAGGCGAGUUCGUGUGAAAGUCUCCAUUCCUCACAUGGCUGCUAUGAAUCAUCAUUGGAGCGGGGUCCAUCAUGGAAUGCCAAGAGUCUGAUCCAGGCUGAUGUGUUGCCUUGGCCAAAAAAUCUGGGAAAGCAGCAUUGUGAUAAAGUUGCUUGUUAUUUGACUGCCUUUCUUUUAAAAUAGAAACUUCUGUUACUCACAGGAAGGUGCCAGUGGCUGUUUGCCUCUCCUUUUUUUUCUGUGCAAAAGUGCUUGAUUUUUAAGCAGCCUAUUUUUAUCAUCCUUUCCCACCAUCACUAGGACUUUCAUAUUGCUGUUUUGGGGCUUUGGAUAAAUGUCUUCUGAACUUGAACAUUAGUAAUAUGGGCCAUGAGGCUGAGGGCAAAGGGAUGGGCCACGUAGUUUGCUUGGCUUUUAUUCUAUUUGGAAACUGGAGAAGAAAGUCACAUUUAUGGUAAAAAUUAGAGUAGCUGAAUGUAGAACAACUGCGAGAACCAGAUUUCUCCCUGAAAAUGCAUUCAUUUCAAAUACGUGCAUUAAAUGUCUAUUAAGGGCCAGGUGCUGUGCUACGGGCAUGGGAAAUGAAAAAUAGUAAGACAUGGUCUCUGAGCUCCAGUGAAGGGCUAAUGGGGAUGUGGUAAAGGAGACAGGCUUGUAACAAUAAUGACAAUGAAGUAUUAUGGUUUCUUUGCUGGAAUUAUGUACGGGAUAUGGUUGGGGUGCAAAGGAAAAGGUGAUUAUUUCUCCCUGUGGGGUGUUAGAGAAGUCUUCAUAUUGGAAGUGGCACUUCUGAGUUUCAAGGGGAAUUAGUGUUCACCCCAAGGACAGGGUAUGAAGAGCAUGCCAGGCUGAAGCAGCAACCUGAGAAUCAUUUUUGCUCCAAUGAUUCAUCCCAAUUCAACUUCAGGAAAUGUAUGUAAUGCAACAAUAAUUCUCCCCAGUAAACAACAGCAAGGACAGUGCUUAUACUCUUGACACAUCAUUGGGUGAGAACCAAAGGGAGCUACUUUGGAUUAUAAAAGGCAACAAGACAGGUCUGUGGCACUGUUGACAUUUUGGACUGGAUAACUCAGUUGCGGGAGACUGUCUUGUACAGUGUAAGAUGUUUAACAGCAUCCCUGGCCUCUACCCACUAGAUGCCAGUAGCACCUGACCCCACCAGUUGUGACAACCAAAAACAUCUCCAGAUAUUGCUGAAUAUCCCCCAAAGGGCAAAAUCAUUGCCACUUAGGAAACACUAGGCUAGAAAGACAGGUAGUACAAUUCUGGAGCUGAGAAAUGGUAAGAUUAGCUGGCAGAACUUCACAAAUAUUAGACACUUGCAAGCCCACAUGGAGUUGCUUGGGAGAAUUGUUGACCAUAAUUAUAUAAAUAACUCCCUGGAGUUACUCACCCGGAGACUUGCCACUCACCUGGAGAGCAAUGUGGAGGUGCUCAUGUGAGAAGCGGCUUGAUGAUACAUCAACAUCUGUGAUUCUGAACAUCUGAUUUUCCAUUUGGAGCUUUUCAUUGAAACCAUUACUGUUUCCCUCAGUCUAUGGAGUCUUAAUUCAUAGAGCAGGUCUCUCCCAAUUUGCAGCCAAACAGCUUUGCAUUCAUUUCCAUACCAGCUUCUCUGAAAGAUGCCAGUCUUUCUUUGUGAGGUGACCCCAGAGUCUCACCAAAUAAAUUUCACUUUUAAGUUAUACAUCACAAACAUACUCAUCAAACAUGUAUAGAUUCAUGUGAUCAUGAUUUGGUAAGAUACAGAGAGAAGUUCCAUUUUACUAAAUGAAUAUGUUAAGGUCUUUUUGAAGCAUUGAGCUAGUGAUCCUUUUUGAGAGCUAGACCAUUGUGAAGGGCACACAUAUGGGAGCUACAUUGUCCCUGUUAUCCAAAAGCCCAGUCUAGAAUUCUUGGUGAUGUUAAACAAGUUACUUAACUUCUCUGUGUGUCAAUUUCUUCCUUGUUGUAAAGCAGACAGGGAUGAGAUAAUAAAAUGAGAUAAUAUAAAUACACAACUUCUUACAGUGACAUGAGUAUUGAAAGCAGGUCAUCCAAGUGAACCACACAAUACCUGGCCUUCAGUAAGUACGUUACACAUGUUAACUGCAAUUUAUUAUCAUCAAUAUUUUAAAUGCUGUAAUAAGCACAUGGCCAGAUGUUCUCAGAGCACAGAGGUGGGAUGUUUAGUUGAGAAUGGACAAUGGGAGUUAGGCAAGGCUCCAGGUAGCAGGAGAGAUCCAACCUGGAGGAUGAAUUAGAUAAGGGAAUCCAGGCAGGAAAAGGAGAACAAGGAUGGGUUUUCAGCCUUGCUGUUCCCUCUGCUGAAACAACCUGUCUCAGAUAUCUGCAAGACUCACUGCCUCUCUCCAGGAGGAUUUUGCUCAAAUGUAUUCUUUUUAAUUGAGGGCUCCCUUCACAUCCCAUUUAAAAUUGAACUUCUUGUUCUAUCGCACUGUAUCUUCUUUCUCCUUGGCACAUGUCACUAUCUGACAUUCUUCUUAUUGAUUUCGUAUAUUGUCUGUCUCACCAUGUGAGAAGGGAGGCUCCCUGAGGGCAGAAUUUUUAUCAUGUUUGUUCCCAGCUAUAUAACUACCAUCUAGAACAGUAUCUGGCAUAGAUUUGGAGUUCAGUAUAAUAUUUGUUGAAUAAGUGAGUUCCAGGCAUGUCAGCAGAAGCAUGGAGGUGAAAGAGAGCAUCUGUAUAGGAUCAUGAAAGUAAAUUGAUGUGACUUAAGUGUACAGUGUAUGCUUGGAAGAAAUGAGAGAUUAGACUGGAGAACUAAGCAGGGAUUUGGUUAUAGAUGGCCUUCUUUGAUCUUGGCCUUUAUCCAAGGAACCACCAGAAGGUUUUCAGGGACUGGUCAUAUUUUCAUUCUAGAAAGUUUAUACUAGCAUCAGUAUUAAGGAUGUAAAGAAGAGGGGGCCGGGAACAGUGGCUUAUGCCUGUAAUCUCAGCACUUUGGGAGGCCAAGGUGGGCUGAUCACCUGAGGUAAGGAGUUUGAGACCAGCCUGGCCAACGCGGUGAAAUCCCGUCUCUACUAAAAAUACAAGAAUUAGCUGGGAGUGAUGGCACACGCCUGUAUUCCCAGCUACUCAGAAGGCCAAGACAGGAGAACCACUUGAACCCAGGAGGCAGAGGUUGCAAUUAGUGAAGAUCACAUCACUGCACUCCAGCCUGGGCGACAGAGCGAGAGAGAAUCUGUCUCAAAAAAGAAAGAGACCAGACUAAGGACAGAGACAUCAGUCACUUGACUCUUGUUUGCCAAGGGAAAAAGGAUGAGGGAGGGCCUGAACUGGACAUAGAGGAUGUGGAUGAGGAAACAUCUUUGAAGUAAAGAGGCUGAAGUGGCAACAUGUGAUGAUCAAUUGGAUGAUAAAGGGAAAUGGAGAGUGAGAAAUCCAAGAUUAUAUCGAUAUUUUGAACUUGGGCAUUUAGGCAGCCAAAAAAGCAGCAUUAGUCCAAGGCUUAGUCCACCUAAUGCUCUGGCCUGAGACUGAGUCUGGAGUGAGGCUUGCAGAGAGCAUACCGCUGAAACUUCCAGGAGCCCUGAGGCUGCAGCAGUGCUCUGCACAGCAGCGUGGGCAGCCUCCUGCUGAGACGUUUCCCAUUGCUUUCCUUUUUGCUUAUUUGCCCUGUGGCUCUGUCUUUAUCUUGGUUUGAAUUAAUUUCAGAAAUGGCCACUGAGCCUGAGAUUUGAGUGAAAAUAGUUUAUUAGGGAGAUGAUCCCAGAAAACACUGGUUAGAGGAAUAGGAACAUCACGCGGGGAAGGGAAAGAAGUGAAGAAAGAGUGAGUUACUGAGUAGGUUACUACGUGAGCAACUGGGGCUCAUUUCCACUGGGACCUCUGGGAGAUCAAGUACAAAUUGGUUCUCAAAAUAUGGUUGUAGGGCCAGCAGCAUCAGCAUCACCUGCAGACAUGUUAGAAAUGCAAGUUCAUCUGACCUGCUGAAUCAGAAGGGGUGCAUAAAACUAUCUUAACAAAUGCUCCAGGUGAUUCUUACACCUAUUAAAAUUUGAGGACGACUGUCAUAGUAGAUUCCCUGAGUGUUAGCACCAUGAACAGCAAAAAGUUGGGUGUAUUUUUCUACCAUCUCCCGUUUUGAGAGGGGUCAUUAAACAUAAAAGGAAAGAGUAAAGAAGAAAUGGAUGGUUAUACUGUAACCUUGAGUGAAUUGACUUGGCACAUUUAGCUAAAUAACAAUUCUGUGCCUUGAAAUGCUUUCUAUGAGUACACCCAAAUUUGGCUUACAAGUGAGCUAAUAUUUUCCAAGCACUGUAGGAAAAACUGAAAUUGGUCUUAUUCUGUUUUUUUUUUUUUUUCCCCCUUGAUGGGGGCUCUAUGGCACCAGCUGUCACAUAUUCUUCUCACACUUGAUACCUCUUUUCCUUGUGCUGGACCCAUAGUGAGCUGGGCAUCAUGUAUAAAAAUCACAGAGAAAAGGAAAGAGAAAAAAAAGAACAGGAAGGGGUACAUGCUGAAGUGCAUAUUCAUGAAGCACUAAGUAAGUGGCAAAGACCCACUGGCUCUUGAAUUGAAGUUUUUAGUAACCUUGGCUAGAUUUCUGAACAAUCUCAGAAAACCUCAUAGACUCAGAGGCUGUUGCCUAAAUGUCAACCUAGGGACUGAUGUGGGGAGGAUGGUAUUUGGCAUUUGGCUCUUCCUUUUGUAAUCUACUCAGUUCAUUUCCAUAAAGUGUCUGAAUGGUAGGAUUUGAUAGCUACCCUCUGGCUUCUCACAUGGAGAUUUCACUUGGUUAACAGGGCUAACAGAGCUAGUGAGAAUACAAACACUACAAAUUCGCGGAUGGCACUCUUGGGGGAGAAAACUUAAUACCUAGAAGUAAAUAACACACAUCAAAAAGAGUAUUCCUCUACUAUCACUUAACAAGGCUUCUUAUAUCCCAUAGUGUUGUACCUUUGAGGAUGAAAUUUGGGAUUGGGAGAGGGGAGGAGAUGCCAACUACUGGGGUGGCCUGGAAAAAAUCAUAGAAAACAUUCCUGACACCUUCAUCCUAUCAUCUUAAUGGAAAGUAAGUCUGCCCAUUAUUCUUUGUGUACUCAAAGACAAGUCCUUCCCAGUGACAGUUAACAGUAGCUAAUUAUAGCCAUAACCAUGUCUCAUUCUCUUAAUCUCUUUCUUUUCCCCUUUCAUUUUUUUCUUCUCCCUAGGGGAUCACCUCACACUCAGGGCUUUAAAUAUCAUCUAUGUAUGUUGACAAAUUUGAAAUUUAUAUUUUCAUCUCAGUCAUCUCGUGAGAGACAGAGAGAGAGAGAGAGUGUGUUUGUGUGUGUGUGUGUGUGUGUGUGCGUGCUAUAGACUCGAAUAUCCAACUGGACUGCUAGCAGCUUCUGUAUAUAUCUCCUAAAUCUCAACUUGUCUAGAAGGGAGUUCCUGAUCCUCCUCCAGGUUCCUGAAUGCGCUCUUUCUGCAGAAUUUCCCAUCUCAAAAAAAGGACACCUCCAUACAUGCAGUUGCUCAAGACAGAAACUCGGAAAUUAUCCUUGUCAGUUUCCUUUCCCUUGUCCUCUGCAACUCUUCAAUUACUUAGAGCUGUGUGUUCUAACUCCAAACUGUAUCCUGAAUCUAUCCUUGUUUCUCCAUCCAUCGCUCCUGUAAAAGGCCCAGCAGAGGCCUCUGAACUGCUCUCUUAGCAAACCAUUCAGUAUGUGGCAGCUAUGGUGAACUUUUGAAAACACAGAACUGAUCAUGUCUCUUCCCUGCUUAAUAUUCUUCAAUGAUUUCCUAUUGCUUUUAAGAUCAAAUUCAAAAGACCUGAAACACCCUCUGUGAUAUAGCUCAUAGAACUAUAUGUCAUUGAGCAGACAAUUUUAACCCAUGGGAUUAGGGAAGGUCUUCUUCGGAAAAGUUUCCCAUGCUGAAACAAGAAGCAGAGAAGAAAGAAGAACCAUUUCUGCCUUGGAGCCCAAAUGUCUAAAGAAGCAAGAGGUUACCUUGACAAGGCUCAGUGAAUGACAAUUAACCAAUUAGCUUUGCUACUCCCUCUGUCCUGGGAAGAGAGUAAACCAGUAGCUGAUUGAACAAGGGGAUAAGCAUGCAUUGUUAUAUGCCCACCUUACUGGAAGAAAACAAGCUCCUCUGCUUGUUUUCUUGUAUUUCGUGAGGAGAAAUAAGGUUUCUCUUUUGUGGCCAGGAGAUUGAAUGCCAUCACAUGACUUCUUACCACCUAUGAAGAGGAUGCUAAGAAUUUUUUCUUUAAUCUAUUAAUAUGGUGACUUCCCAUUGCACUUUCUAUCCUCAUUCUUUAUAUCCUUUAUAUUAUUUGAGUAUUAUGAUCCCUUUAUAGAUCAGUGUCUCUAGUAGCUUUUGAGCUUUGGAGGAAGGAUCACGAUUUUUUAUUGUUGUUGCCAUUAGAUGUAGGCAGAAUAUGGCACACUUUAAAUACUCAAUAAUAUUUGUUAAAUUAAUACAUGUGAAAAAAAGAGUGGUCAGGAUUUGAAGGUGAUGAGAUAUAUUUGCAGCAUUCCAGCUUUCAGGAGGCUCCCAUCCUUUGCUGGUAACCGUGUAGCUCUCAUACUGCUCUGAAGCACUAAAGUUAACCCAUGUUCAUUACACUCUAAUUCCCUAAAUAAUCCAUUAGUAUAUAUUUCAAUACCUUUUUUUUCCCCUAAAUAAUCAAAGAGACACAACAGGCAAUCAUGAUUCUAACAUGCAAGGUCGACAUCGAUUUGCAGGACCAUUUGAAGACUACAAAAAUUUCAGGGGCUUGUUGUGUUAUUUAGAAAUAAUGAACCAAAAUGACUAACCUCCUCAUGUGUGCCUGAAUGACAGCAUGCUUUUUAUUUCUUAACCAAGGUUUUCUGUGUGAGAGUGUAGGGAGGCACUUUGAAAUUAGAAUAACUGGUACCCUGCUUUUAUUGAGGAACCAGAAAUAAUGAGAUUAUAGAAACAGCAUGAACUUGACACUGCAUGGUUUAUUUAGCCCACGAAUUUUUUGUGACUUAACAAGACAAAGGGUUUAAACUCCACUGAUGUUUUUUUCUCUCUCUAAUGAUGAAUUUACCAAAACACAAAGAUGUGUGACACAACUGCUCAUGUUUUAAACUAAGAACUAUGUUUUUUCUCUUUGCUAUAUGGUUAGUAGAAUGAGUCAGUUCCCAAGACAUGACCAGUUUCAAAGUGGAGUGAAAAUGGAGAGGUUUUCUUCAUGAUACUUCUCAAAGUCACCAGGAGACUAUUAAAAGAUUUGAGAUGAAGUAACACAGUAGUAAGAUUCCUAAUAGAGGAGGUUUAGUUGUUAAGAGAGUCACAUACAUACUUUGUUUUGUUUUGUUUUGUUUUUUGCUUUUCUGAGAUGGAGUUUUGCUCUCGUUGCCCAGGCUGGAGUGCAGUAGCGUGAUCUCAGCUCAUCACUGCAACCUCCACCUUCUGGUUUCAAGCGAUUCUCCUGCCUCAGCUUCCCAAGUAGCUGGGAUUACAGGCGCUGCCACCACGCCUGGCUAAUUUUUGUAUUUUUAGUAAAGACGGGGUUUCAUCAUAUUGGCCAGGCUGGUCUCGAACUCCUGACCUCGCGAUUCACCUGCCUCGGCCUCCCAAAGUGCUGGGAUUACAGGCAUGAGCCACUGCACCCGGCCACAUACAUAAGUUUUAAAAGUAGAGACCUGUUGCAUGAGAGAAAGAAACAUUAAGUUACUUUAAAAGAGGUUCUUAGACAUAGGCACUUUUUGAAGAUUGUUAUUUUAGUGUAAUUCUUUAGAAAUUAAUGAAACAGGAUUGGGAAGACAUUGUGAUGCUGAGCCGUAUGAGCCUGUCAUCUGUACUUUUGUGAAUAGGAUGAAGGAGGGAGGUCUCAGGUGAGUGUAAAAGAGAUUCAGGAUGCCUGGGCUUAUCUAUGAAGUGGUAGAGACAAUAGCCUUUAGCCUUCUAUUUAUCUGAGGUGCUUUACAUCAGAUUAAGAGGACUUCUUCUAAGAAGAGAAUGAUGUGCCUCCUUUUGUGAGAGGGAAGAGGGUUGAAGAACAUGAGGAGAACAUCAGAGUAUCUGAACACAAACCAACAAAUUCAUACUGAUGUCUGAUGGAAAGGGGUCUGGUAGAGGUUGAAGAACCCAUUUCUACCAGUGAGACCUGAGGAGAAAGUCCUGUUUGGGAAAAAUAUGGGACAAUAUAUGACAGAGAUUUUGAAAAAGAGAUACCUUCCUACUUCUGAAGGACACUGCUUUGGCAUUGUAAAGAUUUGUUUACAGAUCACAAGUAAUUUACGCUUGACAUUGACAUCAGUAUUGACAUGGCCCUGGACCAGUUGUUUAAGUUGGAGGAAGGAGGAGUUCAAGAGAUACCUGAUAUUCUUAGAACUCUGUGACAAAUAAAUGGCCUAUAGUCAAAACUACAUCGCUGGAUCAAGACCAUAUGGACCCACGCCCACACUAAGCAUGUCACCACGAUCACACUCUUCUCCAUAAAAACUUGCAGUAUGUCUCAUGAAAUUUCAGUGCUCAGGAUGAAAACUACCACAACCUAUGCAAUUUAGGAUGGCUAUUGCUAGUAAUUUAGAAUGGCUAUUGCUAGUAAUUUAGGAUGGGUAUUGGGAAAGCCCUAAUCAGUUAAAUGCAACAACAACUGUCCUUCAUUGAUAAAGAAUACUUCACAAUAUUGAAAAGGACCUCAGAAUUCUUCAGCGCUACUUCUCCUUUACCAUCCUCCCUCAACAGGAGGAUAUUUAUGUGAAUAUCAAACUGGAAGGAUAGUUAAUGGGCCACAAUGCUGUCCACACAGUUUCUUUCUUGGAAUUCUUUUUCCUCGAAUACGCAGUAUUCUUGAGAGGGAUAACCUGUCACUCACCAUAUACAAGAAUCAACUCAAGAUAGAUUAAAAACUUAAUCGUAAGACCUGAAACUAUAAAAAUACUAGGAGAAAACCUAGAGAAAAUUCUUCUGGACAUUAGUCUAGGCAAAGAAUUCAGUGACAAAGACCUCAAAAGCAAAUGCCACAAAAUCAAAUAUAGACAAAUGGGACUUAAUUGAACUAAAAAGCUUCUGGACAGCAAAAGAAAUAAUCCUCAGAGUGAAUGGAUAACCUAGAGAAUGGGCAAAGAUAUUUCCAAACUAUGCAUCUGAUAGGGGUCCAUGUCCAGAAUUUACAAAGAACUCAAGCAACUCAACAAAAAAUUCCCAAAUAAUCCCAUUAAAAAGUGGGAAAGAAUAUGAAUAGACACUUUUUAAAAGAAGACAUACAAAUGGCCAACAAGCAUAUGAAAAAAUGCUCAACAUCACUAAUCAUCAGAUAAAUGCAAAUUAAAACCACAAUGGGAUAUCAUCUUACAGCAGUCAGAAUGGUUAUUAUUGAAAAGACAAAGAAUAACAGACGUUGGGGAGGAUGAGGAGAAAAGGGAACACUUACACACUGUUGUUGGCAAUGUAAAUUAGCACAACCUCUAUGGAAACAGUAUGGAGAUUUCUCAAAUAACCAAAAAUAGAAUUACCAUUCUAUCCUGCAAUCUCACUACUAGGUGUAUAUCCAAAUGAAGAGAAAUCAUUAUGUCAAAAAGAUACCUACAGUUGUCAUACGUUUACUACAGCACUAUUCACAAUAGCAAAGAUAUGGAAUCAAUCUAAGUGUCCAUCAGUGGAUGAUUGGAUGUGGUAUAUAUACACAAUAGAAUACUAUUUGGACAUAGAAAAUGAAAUCAUGUCUUUUGCAGAAACAUGGAGGGAACUGGAGGCCAUUAUCUUAAGUAAAACAAUUGAGAAACAGAAAGACAAGUACCACAUAGUCUUACUUAUAAGUGGGAGCUAUAUAAUGUGUACAAAUGGACAUAGAGUGUGGAAUGAUAGACAUUGGAGACUCAGAAGGGUUGGGGGGUGAGUAGAGGGUGGAUGAUAAAAAAUUACUUAAUGGGUUACAAUGUACAUUAUUUGGGUGAUGGAUAUACUAAAAACUAAGACUUCACCACUACACAAUAUAUCCAUGUAAUAAAAUUGCAUUUGUGCUCCUUACACAUAUACAAAUAAUAAUAAAGAUAAUAUAUACAAACUGGUACUUAGGGAAAUGGGUUAUUUAAUGAGGAAGAAAAAAGGCAGGAAGAAAAGAUCAUAUGAUGGAUCACAAACUUCACUACCAUUACAAGUUAUUGUGGGGCUAGCUUUGCUCAAAGCCAUUGCCUGUUUUCAAUGGGCUACAUCCAUCUUUGGCAUUCCCAUCUUAAAAUGCAAUUUUGCCUUCUCUAACCUUAUGAAUUCAGAGCAAAAGUAUUCCUGAAAAGCUUGAAACCAAUAUAUUACAACACAGUGUGGAUUUCACAACAUGAUCAAUUCUGGUUUUGCGCUCGUCAUAAUACAGGAUCUUUCAUCCAAGCAUGACAAGGUGCUUCAUACUCAGUCUAUAUUCUUCUCCACCUUUGGCAAUUAAUGGAGAAAAAGGUAGAAAGAUGGCUGGCUGGCUUGAAAACAGAAGCAGAGCCAGAAAUAGAACCUAGAAGUCUAACUUCUUUUUUUCACACUCUUUCUAAAAUUAUAGGACCAUUUCAUUCCUCCUCCUCCUUGUUCCAUUGCUCUUCCCACUUGUGACUGUUGUUCACACCAGUGCUUCACGGAAAUGACUUCCCUGGAAGUAAAAAAGAUAGAAUUGUGAAAGCAAAGUCCUGAAUUUUCAACCGCCUAUAUUCUUGGAAUGCCAGAGUAGGAUAUUUCUCAUCAUUUAGAGAGAUGUUCAGAAAUCAUUAUAAAAGUGUUAGGAAGUUUGUUCUCACAUAUAAGUCAGAUAUUAUCAGACUUUGUUUCUUUAUGAUAAAACCUGGUGUUAUGACCUGUUAAAUGGAAGUAAAAUUAUAUCCUUGGUGAGUUUUAUGAGGAUUAAAUGAGAUAAUUUAUAUAAAAUACUUAGCUAUCUUUAAUUUUAUGGAUAUAGAUGGAUAUAGAUGAAAGGAAAAAGGGCACCAUGUUACAACCUUCAAUUUAAUACAACUUAAAUAAUUUUAGUUUCAUAAAUACUUCCCGUGUACCUUUUUGUGUGAAGAAGUGCCCUGUCCUCCUUGGAAGAGGAGAUGAUACAUGAGUUACAUCAAGUUUUCAUUCUAUGUGGGUGAUUAUGGGAAUCACCGUGGAUGAAAACAGUAUACCAACAGAGUUAAUGUCAUCCUUGUUGAACUUUUCUUUAACAUAGUGGCCCAGAGAACGUAUUCUAGAACUGAAGUUGCCUUGGAUCUAACUCUGGCUCCGGGCCUUUCUGAGUGUGUGGUCCUGGGCAAGUUUCUUAAUCUCUCUGUGUUGCAAUAUCUUCAUAAUAGUACCUAUUUCAUUGAGUUGUGGUAGGGAUUUAAAAAGUUCAACUCAUGUAAGAUUUGAAGAAUUCAGCUUGGCUUGGUGAUAAGUCCUCAUUUACUCUUAACUCAUAUCCUUAUUUGUUUUAGUUUGUCCAGACAGGAUGUACUGCAGGCUUGGCUGGACAUUCAUCAUGGCCUCAGAGGAGGAAGUGCCUUGGAGGGUCACCGUAUUCUAGAAUCUAGUCUUCCAGUUCAAACUCACUGUCUUGUAAAUGCCCUGAAACUUAUAAAUCUGAAGGCUAAUAUUUUAAUAUUAAUUUGCCACAAUAAAUAUAGUUUAUCUUAGUGGUUAAAAGCAGGAACUCCAGAGAUGUGUUCUAACCUUGCUUUGGCUCAAAUACAAUUAGUUCCCUGUUCUUCAGCGAGUUACUUAUCCCAGCUAUACUUCUGUUUCCUCUCCUGUAAGAUUACAGUACUCUGAUUCUACCACCGUUUAAGGAAUGUGAUAAGGAUUACAUAAUAUAAUUAAUAUAAAACAUUUAGUACAACAGGCAGAGAUUAUUAGGGCAUGACAAUUUCUAUGCUCUCUUUUCUGAGUACUCAGAAAGUAUUUCUCAAUUUCUCUUGCAGUCAGAUGCGACCAUGUGAAUCACUUCCCACCAUUGGAAUGUGAAUACGCAUUUUAUGUCCAUUCAAACUGGCCCAGCAAACCUUCUAUGUGCAAUUCUUUCUCUCUUUAUUAAUCUAUCAAUUGAAAUAAGAGAUCUCUGAGGACCUGGGGGACGAUGGUGUCAAGGAUAAGAGAGGCCUAGGUUCCUCGUUGAAUGUGUGGAUUAGGGCUUCCUCAUCCAUUCCCACCCAAGACUCAUGCAUGACCGUAAGUGAGGGAAAACACUAAACUUUUAUUGGGUUAAACCACUGAGAUUCAGGGUUUUUGAAACAGCACUUUCGGCCUAUCCUGAGUAAUAUAGCUCAGUAAGUGACUGCUCAGAAUAACUAACAAAUGUUACUUAAUAACCAUGAUGAGCAGCCAGACCUUGGUGCUCAGGGUCAUAUUCGUUCCUCAUAUGUGGCUUCCCAUGGGAAAUUAAACAAGGCCUCUCUACAUUUCCCAGGACAUUUCUGAGUAAAGGGAUCAGAGCAAAGGGAGGUAGUUCUAACCCAAAGUGAUUGUAGCUAGGCAAGAAUGAUACAGAAAACUCCACUUAUCCCUCAACAGUCAACUUUUUCUAUUAACCAGAAUACUUCUGCUUCCUGAUCCAAAGUCAAGACAGGGCUGGUAAAUGCUGAUACACUGUUUCCCUUUAGGAUGGCCUGCCCGUCAUCCCCGGGCAUGCCCAUCAUCCCCGCCAUGCUUGCACAUCCUUUCCUUCCAACGAGAGUCAAUGCAGUUGAUGAAGUGUCAGCUCUGGCCAAAUUACCAAAAAUCAAUUUGUUUUUCUCUGAUAAGUUAGCUCAUGUUAAUGUGCCAAGCUGAUGCUGUGUGUAUGCAGUUUUAGGUAGACUAGUAUCAUCUGUGCUUCCUCGAGGCUAUUCCCUAAGUAUUUUGAUUAAAAUUUGAGCAUUUCCCCAAACUCUAACAACUGAUUGGUCAACAUUGAUAAAUGGCUCAUAUUUCAGGGAUAGAUUUUAGCAGUUUUAUCUUCAGAGACUAACCUCAUUUUGAAGUUCUUAAAGUCACCUCACUUUUGCUACACUAUUGUCUUACUGUUUUGAAUUCUAUUUAUGUUUUGCACCUUCCCAAGCAUUCACUGACGUCACUUCACAUUAUUGGACAUUCUGUUACAUCUCAGCAUUCCCAGGUGUCUGCCAGCUUCUAAGCUCAUGUGAGGUUGGUACUUUCAGAAGCUUGAACAUCUCCAUGUGGUAGCUGGCAUAAUUUAUUGGCCCAACAUAGUGGAAACAAUGAAUUCCUAGAGAUAUACCAUCUGGACUGCACCAUCAGAUGAGUUAGAGAGAGCUCUCUAAAAGGGGAAACAGAUAAACUUAUGCCCUUCCAUUACUAUAAUUCUGUAAACUCAACAAUUAUAUAUUGAACAUCUAGUAGGCUCCAAGAAGUAAAAGUCUAAUUAUGAGUUGGUCAUAGUUUUAUGCUGGGGGAGCAUGUUGCCAGUGGGGAGAAAUCAGCUAUAUUAUUAUUACAUGACUUUUUUUUUUUUUUUGAGACAGGGUCUCACUCUGUGGCCCAGGCUGGAGAGCAGUGGCAUGAUCAUGGCUCAGUGCAGCCUCGACCUCCAUGGCUCAAGCAGUUCUUCUGCCUUGGUCUCCCAAGUAGCUGGGACUACAGAUGCAUGCUACCACACCUGGCUAAUUUUUGCGUGUUUUGUAGAGAUGGGAUUUCACCAUGUUGCUCAGGCUGGUCUUGAACUCCUGGGCUCAAGCGAUCUGCCCUCCUUGGCCUCCCAAAGUGUUGGGAUUAAAGGCAUGAGCCACUGCAUGCAGCGUGACUAUUGCUUUAAUGAAUAACUUGUUUUUGUUUGUUUAAGGAAUGUUUAAAUAAUACAUAACUUUUGUUUUGUACCUUUUAACUGAGGCCUAAUUCACAAACAGUGAAGUAAACAGAUCUUAGGCAUAGGAUUCAAUAAACUCUUACAUCUAUGCACACUUAUGGGAUUAUCAUGCAGAUCAAGACAUAGAACAUUUCCAGUGCCCCAGAAGGCUUGUUCAUGACUCUUACUACCAACACACACCACCUGGAAGGACAUCUCUAGCACUAUGGUUUAGUUUUGUGAUUUUGAAUUUCAUAGACAUGGAUUCAUACAGCAUGAAGCUGAUUGUGUCUAGUUUCUUUUGUCUAAUACUCUCCGUGAGAUUCAUCCAUCCUGCUCUUGGUAUUUCUAGUUAGGGGAUAUGAUGACAGAGCUGCUGUGAAAUAAGCACACCUUUUGGAGGGGUGUAUACACAGGAUUGGAACUGACGAGUUAUAGAGACAUAUAUGUUUGCUUUAAUAGAUACUAAUAAACAGUGUUAAAAGGGUAUUAAUUUGUGGUUCCUCUAGCAGUGUCCGCAGAUUCUGGUUGUUCUUUAUCUUCACCCAAACUUAAUUUUGUUAGUUUUUAAAAUUUUAGUUAUCCUUAUGUAGGUGUGGUAGUAUUAGGUUGGUGCAAAAGUAAUUGCAGUUUUUGCCAUUACUUUGCAUUUUCUUGACGACUAAUACAUUUAUUUGUUAAUUUACAUUUGUGUAUUCUCUUAUGUGAAUUACCUUUUAAUGUUUUUACUUUUGAAAAAAAUUGGAUUAUUUGUUUUUCUUUUUAUUAAUUUGUAGUAAUUCUUUACAUAUUUACAUGUUCUGGCUAAGAGCAUUUUGUAGGAUAUAUUUAUUGCAUUAUCCUUACAAUUUCUAUAGAAAUUGCAAAAAUGGCUCUGCUUUUUUUCCCUUGAUAUUAUGUCUUCUAUCUUUUUUUUCUUCAUCAGUGUUGUUUGGGGUUUAACAAGUUGUUAAUAUUUUUAAAACAUGUGUUUUUUUGCCUUUGUUGAUUUUUUAAUUGCUUUUCUGUUUUCUAGCUCACUGAUACCUACUUUUAUUAUUAUUUCCUUUUUUCUACUUACUUUAGAUUUAAUUUUACUUCUUAGUGUCUUAAAAAUGAAAGUUUAGAACAUUAAUUUUAAAUCUUUUUUUCUAAUAUAUGCAUUGUUUUUGCUUUAUAUCGCAAGUUUUGACAUAUAGUAUUCUCAUUGCCAUUCAGUUUAAAUAAUUUUUAAUUUUUCUCAUGACUUUUCUUUAACCCUUAGAUGAUGACUGCAGAUUUGUUUACUUCUCCUUUUAUUUCUGUCAACUUUGCUUUAUAUAUACAUUUAAAUAUUGAAAUGCAUGUUAAGCAUGUAUUUUUAAUAAUAAUUUAUUCAUUUGUUCAAGCAUUUUUCAUUUGUAAAACAUGAAAUGAGAAGAAUGCAAAACAUAAAGCUAUGUCUAUGUCAUUUCAUCAUUUUAUAUGAGGUAACUUGUCCAAUGCCUGUCUGUUUCAAGGAACUCAUAGUCUGGUAAGGAAAAUACAUGCAUAAAUAGGAAGAAGUGUUUAUUUUGUUUGAAAAAAAAUGUUUUGGUGAUUAGAUCGGGUCACUCAUAUGUCAAAAAUAUCCCAUAGAUUUCCGCUGGAGUGAAGAAAAAAACCUUUUAUGUGUUCUGCCACUAUCUGUCUCUGUCUUCAUAUUUUACGGCUACUUUCUCACUUUUUUUUUUCCAGAACACACAAAAGCUUGUUGCUGCCUCAGAGUUUUUGCCCUUAUAGUUCUUUCAGUUUAUAACCCUUGUCUCAAGUUCAUGGCAUGGCUGAUUUUUCACCUCUCCAACUCUCAGUUCAAAUAUCACCUCUAAGGUCAGGCCAUGCCUGGCCACUCUACCUUAAUUAGUCACCAUCCACCUCACAGGUUACUUUCACAUCAUCACAGUUGGAAAGGACUGUGUUUAUUCAUUUGCUUUGUGUUCCUUCUACUAGGAUGUAACCUUCAUAACAAUAGACAUCUUGUUUUUCUUCAUCUCUGUGUCCUAAUUAGCUCACAGAUAGGGGAUACUCAAGAAAUAAUUAUUAAAUACAUGAGGGAUUUUGGUAUGAUUUGAGUCCCCACCCCUUUUCCUAUACUCUACUCUCAUCUCUUGCUGUUCCUUCCUUCCAAGGCCUGGAUGUUAGUUGGUACCAGAAUUUGGGGGGAAAUUGCUCUGUAUACAUUGUGUGAAGAAAUUGAGGAAUUAUAUUGCUUAUAAGAGGAGUGCAGAGAGGGGUAAGGGUAGGAGCAAACAAGAUGGUAGAAAGUGGAGUGCUAGACUACUUGACUCCUUUUGCUGCCCUCCCUUCCAAAUUACGAGGCGCAUGAAAAACUGACAUUGAUGUAUAAUAGAAAUUAAAGGUGUUAAAUUUUAUUCCCAAGUGGUGUAGUGAUAGACAAAAGCAAUAAUAGAGGAAGCUGGAGCUUGAGAGAUAGAACAGAGGAGGAGAUGUAAAACCCUUGGGAAUUAGCAGAAAUAUUGAGGGAGCAUUUCCUGAAGCCAUGAAAGGAGAAAGUUCAAGGCAAUGUUGCUUAGCUCUCAUGGGGUAGGCAGACAACUAAAGUCUUUGAUACAUACAGAAUUGUGCCACAUAGGCAAUAAUAGAGACAAUGUGGAGGGAAUGACUAAGACUGUCCACUGAACAAGGGAAAGGGGCUUCUUGUAAAGUCUUUGUAUACUGUACAUGAAAAUUAAGAUAUAUCUUGCACAAUCAUUCAAUGUUUUCCAGGUAGAUAAAGUGAUUGGGGUAAAGUGCAUUUCGGAAGAAUGGUGGCACGAAUUUGCCUUCAUUAAAAUAAAUUCAUUAAAUGAAACUUUAAUGGUGCCCACUAAAUCCCAGACUCUGUACCAAUUAGGUAAUUGAAUGGGUCUUAUAUUGGAAUGGGAUUAGAGUUGACAGCAUAGGCUUGAGUCAGAUCGACUUGAGUUCAAAUCCCAGCUCCACUACUUCUGAGUUGUGCAAACUUGGGCAAGUUAUUCAAUCUCCUUGUGCCUUGAUUUCCUUAUCAAUAAGUGAUUUGUUUUUAAAGAAGGAUUCACAAGCAAACAUAUCUGGUUUUUUUGUUUGUUUGUUUUUGAGACAGAGUCUCGCUCUGUUGUCCAGGCUGGAGUGCAGUGAUGCGAUCUUGACUCACUGCAACCUCCGCCUCCCAGGAGUUCAAGCGAUCCUCCUGCCUCAGUCUUCCGAGUAGCUGGGACUACAGGCAUGUGCCACCACACCCAGCUACUAUUUUUGUAUUUUUUUGUAGAGAUGGUUUCGCCAUGUUGGCCAGGCUGGUCUUGAACCCUUGACCUCAGGUGAUCCACCAGCCUCGGCCUCACAAAGUGCUGGGAUUACAGGUAUGAGCCACCACGCCCAGCCUGCAAACAUAUGUUGAACUCUUUGCACAGUGCCCUGCAUGAGAUAGAUGACAGCUCCUUCUUCCAUGUUGUUAAUUUGGUGUGAGUAUAUGUUAUAUGUAUGUAUAUGCAAGAUAAUAAUCUUCUUGUAACCACUGACAGGCCUUUUUGUGAAUGAUGAUGGAAAAAGCAAGAACCUUGUCCAGGUUCCUCUCCAGGGAGCAGGGGUGGGUUGUGAUUCUUGAUUUCAUUCCUUUAGAUAUGAAGAGUUUUCACACAGAGGCAGCACGAAUUUGUCUCUCUCCUAGAGGGUGGGGAGAGUUGCUGGGUGGAUAUAACUGCAUCACAGCCUUUCUGGGUAAACUGGCCACUCCCUACUGAUUUGUUAUCAUGCUAAAUGUGUCUCCUCCCUUCCUUUCUGGAGCUUUUGCAGCUGUUCCUGGAAGGAGACCCAGUUGAAAGGGGUUGUUAUGGACCAGGAACAGCUGGGAUCUUUAAUGAUCUGUGAGCAGCUUACAGCAAAGUUCCAACACCCUGAGUAUCAGUCCCCAAAUCCUUGGUCUUUGCAUUCCAACACAAAGUAAAAAGGAUUGAGCAGGGUUUUGGUUUUGGUUGCAAGUAACAGAAACCCAACGCUAAUUAAUAAACGGGAAAGUGUGUCAGUGGAAAUCUCCACAAGUCCGACGGAAAGAGAAAACUGCUUUCCCAAAGGGUGUAAGAGGAUGAAAGGCAUGUCAUCAGCUGAAUUGCAUCAGGUGUCCAUCUUGGAAUCAAUCACGGUGCCUCUUAUUAGCAAAGCCUGAGUCAUAGGCAUGUGUCAUUUCACAUCUGCAUAAAAAGACAUGCUGAAGGAUGUUCCUUGCAGAAUGGUUAUAGAGAAAAAUGGGAAUAACCACGAUAUAAAGUAACAGGAUUUCAACAGUGAAGGAGACCUGAGAAACCAUAAAAUCAAUCUCUCAAAUUGAAGUUGAAAAAAGCAAAUCAUCUCUCACACCCACCCUGAUUGAUCCAGAGCCAAUGGGUUCAUUUAAAACUCUCUUUCAUGAUGGCAAUGAAUAAAAGAGGAUCCUAGACCAUCAGAAGAUUUUAGCCUUGGAGCUCCCCACCGUCCUAACACACACAGAUAGAGCUGGCUCCGAACUCUGCUGCUUCCAUGGUCGUGGCUACCUACUACUCUGUUCCUACUUCAUCUUCACUGUGAUUUUUGUCCAUAUGUCAGACUGAAGCAGACUGCUUAGGGCCUUGGGUUGAGGUAGGGGACAUCUUUCUCCAGGUUAGGCAUUUCAACUGAAGAGGAAAAAAAGUAGGAAUAGGAAAUGAUGACUACUAGAGGUCAAUUGAUCCAUUAAAAACAAAAAUGAUUAUUUUUGACUCCUGAGUUCUGAAAAUGUAUUUGAGGGUUCUUCAACACAAGGAGCAAAAGAACAAAGAGAAAGGGGAAAUCUUUGUUGUUUUAUUGAUCUGCCUUAAUAGUAUUCUUUCAUCUUAGAAAUAAGACGAGCUUGCAUAGAAGCCGCUGUCUGUGGUUCGGUUUCUGAACUAGAAAACAAAUCUUUUUAAAAAUCAAAAUCUGAGCAUUUCAGAUUAAAACAUGAUAGGGGCCAAUACUACUUUUUUGGUGAAAGCCUUGAAUGGGGUGAUCCAGUGAAAGGACCCAAUGACAAAUUUAAAACAAGGGGAAUAACAGUUCCUGUGCCCUGGCACAGGAUGGGUAGUAAGCACAUCAAUAAUGAUUAUAUGAAUUCCAAGUAGGAUUAGUUUCAUAAGAGAUUGGCACAUAUUUACUUUGGGUUCAUGAUGGAAGGUGAAAAUCAUAAUAAAUAUUUGGGGAAUCAAGAAGACUUCAUGGAAGAGAAGGCUUUUUAGAAGCAUGUAAAGAAUGUUGAAGAAGGAAAUAGACCUAGGCAGUCCAAAUAUAGAGGUAGUAUGGGUAAGUAUAUCUUUGGAGAAAGUUGUCUAUUUGGCUGUAGGAUACACAAGAAUGAGAGAAAGACAAGAUAAUAAGAGCCUUAUUGUGGGAGGUCUACAGCAUUUGUACUUGAAUUGGCAGUCAACAGUGGAGCCAUUAAAGGUUUUUAGAAAUGAAUGUAAUAGAUUAGAAAUUUAAGAAAAUUAGAGUACAGACCCAAGAAAGACUGGAAUGGAAGUAACAUGAGCAAUCAGGAGAAUUCUGUAGUAGAAUUAAGUGAAAAAUUGUGAGACUCUAAGUUAAUAAAGGGAAAACCCAGAUGUCACUAGCUGCAUUUUCAGGGAGCUAACAAAUCUAGUGAUUGCAUAAGCCAUAGGUCCCUUAGAAAAUUUAAUGAAAAAUCUCUGGAAAUCCCCCAGAAAAAUACCACAUUUACACAUACU